GUAGGGUGCGAGCGUUGUCCGGAAUUAUUGGGCGUAAAGGGCUCGUAGGCGGUUUGUCGCGUCGGGAGUGAAAACGCCGGGCUUAACUCGGUGCUUGCUUUCGAUACGGGCAGACUAGAGGUAUGCAGGGGAGAACGGAAUUCCUGGUGUAGCGGUGAAAUGCGCAGAUAUCAGGAGGAACACCGGUGGCGAAGGCGGUUCUCUGGGCAUGACCUGACGCUGAGGAGCGAAAGUGUGGGGAGCGAACAGGAUUAGAUACCCUGGUAGUCCACACCGUAAACGUUGGGCGCUAGGUGUGGGGCCUAUUCCAUGGGUUCCGUGCCGCAGCUAACGCAUUAAGCGCCCCGCCUGGGGAGUACGGCCGCAAGGCUA
rnacentral:rRNA from 1 species